CCAGACUCCUACGGGAGGCAGCAGUGGGGAAUAUUGGGCAAUGGGCGCAAGCCUGACCCAGCAACGCCGCGUGAAGGAAGAAGGCCCUCGGGUUGUAAACUUCUUUUAACAGGGACGAAGAAAGUGACGGUACCUGUUGAAUAAGCCACGGCUAACUACGUGCCAGCAGCCGCGGUAAUACGUAGGUGGCAAGCGUUAUCCGGAUUUACUGGAUGUAAAGGGCGUGUAGGCGGGAGAGCAAGUCAGACGUGAAAUUCCAGGGCUCAACCCUGGAACUGCGUUUGAAACUGUUCUUCUUGAGUGAUGGAGAGGCAGGCGGAAUUCCGUGUGUAGCGGUGAAAUGCGUAGAUAUACGGAGGAACACCAGUGGCGAAGGCGGAUUGCUGGACAGUAACUGACGCUGAGGCGCGAAAGCGUGGGGAGCAAACAGGAUUAGAGACCCCUGUAA
rnacentral:rRNA from 1 species